rnacentral:rRNA from 1 species
UGGGGAAUAUUGGACAAUGGGCGAAAGCCUGAUCCAGCCAUGCCGCGUGUGUGAAGAAGGUCUUCGGAUUGUAAAGCACUUUAAGGUGGGAGGAAGGGCAGUAAGCGAAUACCUUGCUGUUUUGACGUUACCGACAGAAUAAGCACCGGCUAACUCUGUGCCAGCAGCCGCGGUAAUACAGAGGGUGCAAGCGUUAAUCGGAAUUACUGGGCGUAAAGCGCGCGUAGGUGGUUCGUUAAGUUGAAUGUGAAAGCCCCGGGCUCAACCUGGGAACUGCAUCCAAAACUGGCGAGCUUGAGUAGGGCAGAGGGUGGUGGAAUUUCCUGUGUAGCGGUGAAAUGCGUAGAUAUAGGAAGGAACACCAGUGGCGAAGGCGACCACCUGGGCUCAUACUGACACUGAGGUGCGAAAGCGUGGGGAGCAAACAGG